UGUAGCACCUGCUAGAUGGUUCAAUUUUUUCCGUUACCGUUGUACUAUACUGUACAUGAUUUUAAUAUUUAAUCCGUUUCAGAAUAUUGCGUGAUAUGUGUAAUGAGUAGAUAUUUUUGCCUAUUGAUUUUAAAUGUCUCUUAUUUUUACUGCUUUGUUUUACAGAAGCAAUAUGUUUUUACGUAAUGGUCGUGCACGAAUAUUUUUUUAAAUUUUAUUUUAAUAAUAAAUAUAAGUCGCUAUAUGAAAUAUAAACUGAUAGUUUUGAUAUGCAGAGAAAUGGAUUUCAGGUAUGAAGAGCCUUGCUUGGACAUCGAGAAAUGGAGCUUUUUCACCUAUAAAUAAUAUACAUAUAUAUGUAUAUAUAAUAACAAACGUGAUUUUUUCCGUUAGCAUCUUAUUAAAUAGAGAUGGGCGUGUUAAUCUUGCUAUCCGGAAGUGAAUGAAAUGACCGCUGCUGCGAGUUUUCAAGCACACUGGAUGAAGACCUGCGAAAACUUGGAAGCUUCACUGAUCUUUGACAUCAUAUAUAAGAUACUGUAUUCUUGUGGGAGACACAGCUUCAGAGUUUUGGGAACCACAAUUUGCACAGAAAGUAAACUAUGGAGGAGAACUUCUUGGGUCAAAACCAAACAGUAACACAGACUGGAGAGAAAAAUCUGUGAUCAGCUGAGGAAAGAGAUCUCCUGUGAGCAAACAUCUAGCUCUCCAUGUCAAGAG